rnacentral:rRNA from 1 species
UACGUAGGUGGCAAGCGUUGUCCGGAUUUACUGGGCGUAAAGAGCGCGCAGGCGGUCGUUCAAGUCGCGUGUGAAAGCCCCCGGCUCAACUGGGGAGGGUCACGCGAUACUGAUCGACUCGAAGGCAGGAGAGGGAAGUGGAAUUCCCGGUGUAGUGGUGAAAUGCGUAGAUAUCGGGAGGAACACCAGUGGCGAAGGCGGCAUCCUGGACCGAUAUUGACGCUGAUGCGCGAAAGCUAGGGGAGCAAACGGG